CCGAAUUGACCGCUUCCUGUUACAGUAGUCUCCAUGAUAUAGCGUGGUUCUAAAUUGAAGCUCCGAUUCAUGCGGUAUCGCUCACGGCCGCUCACAGUAUUCUGCUCAUUUUAGUGGGGACUGAAUCAAGGCUAAGGUACAGGUCAUGAUAUCCUAACAGAAGUCUCUCCUCCCUAUCAAUUAAAAAACGAUACAAAGGCAUAAAAUAGAAUUUCUAGCAAUUAAAUCAAGAGAAACGUUCUAGGGAUAGAAGAAUUCGAUAAAAGAACAUUAAAGAGAAAAUUUCAGUGAAGAAAAACAUACAGAAUAAUGGCAUCAGAAGCAACGUCAAUAGUAGAGAAAACAAACGCCAUAAAAGAGAUAAUUUGCAAGAGUUACAAAUAGUGUUUAACUUCCUCUUCGUUUCGAAGAAAAUUACGCUUGUUUUCGUCGCCAGUGUUCGGAUGAAUCGACUAGGUGAAUCGGCUGGACAGGAAACGAAAGGUGUAUAGUUACAUCCUCUCGUUACCGUCCUCUUGCGUAAUGAGCCAGUAUUCGAUUCGCUGAUUGACGUAAUAAUGUGUUUGUCUAGCUCCUCGACACCGCAAAUAUCUGUCUAUCUCGCUUCGAAUGGAAAAGACUUGAUUUCUCGAAUUCUCGGCACGUGUGAUCAUAGAUGAUACUUGAAAUCACUUGAGACACUGAUGCACGAGGAUUUCGAGAAACGAACGGAUACAAAGGAAUUCGAUCAAUUGAUCAACAUUCUAGAAUUCGUAAGAUGAACUGGGAUAGAGAUCCAUCGAAUUUUCUUCCGCUUCAACGUUAAUCUUUAAUAGUAAAGAAAACCGAAGAUACGAAAGCUAAAUUACAAAUGAUAAUUUGACUUGAUUAAAAGACAUUUUGCAUACUACGAUAAAAACACAGAAACAGCUAAAUCAAGAAUAUAGGAUGUGAUCUCUCUGAUCCGAGCUCUUUGACUUUCCCGAUGUUGUCCAUAAUAUUAAUCAUUCGCUUGAUUGUUUUGUUACGCUUUUUUGUGUGCUUAGAAACCGAUUGCACGAUGUUGAACUAUUAUAAUAUUGGUUUCUGCCAAACUACGUCAUUUGAUGGCCAUAAAACUUCCUUGCGAAUUAUACUUUAAAAUAUUAGACAAACUGUCAUCUCCUCGUUCGUCGAAUAAGAUGAAUAAUCGCUAAACCUCCAAAUAAAAGUUUAAAUGCCACAUACGAAAGUAAAAAAAGGAAAAUAGAAAUAGAAGAUAAGUAUUAUCGCGUGCCUUGAUAUGGAAACGUCGCAAUUGGCGACUCUCCUAUCAAGCCAACUGAUGAUAAUUCGAUCGAACAAACGAUUAAGGUUUGUCUGGUGAUUUCUAAUCUAACAUAAAGAUGGAUAAGGAACAGUGUAGAACAGCUGUUCAAUAAAUAUCCACUCACGUCGACGAACGGAUAACUAUCAAAGAGAAAACUAUUCAAAACCGUGAGUUACCAUUAAAGGAAUUCGAUGGCCAUUUGAUACAUGCAAAAUGACGUUCCACUUGAACGUACUAGUUUAGAUCUGUACGAAUCUUCUAUUAUCCAAAUGACGAUGAGUUUCUUUGUUGAUAUCUUCAUAAUGAUAAGGACAACAAAUCAUUUGAUUUUGUCGCUGUUAUCAUUUUCUAAGAGGCAAUAUUUGGAGUUUGUUGUUGUCAACAAGGAUCACGUGCGUUCCUAUUUCUGGGAAAGGAAAAUAUAAUAAGAAAAGAUCGUUCAUGAUUUGGGUUUGGAUAGAUAGAGAUAUAAUGAUUCUUACAUGAAUUUCACAACUUUUACGAUAUCUUCCAUUUAUACCAAUAAUGCCACUCUUCUCUUCUUCUUGUAGAACACAUUUCUGUAUGAAGAAUAAAAAGUCAAAAGAAGAGUAAUUGUUUAGGUACGUUUGUGGGGACAAUCCUAUUCCAUAUGAAAUUCCAAGGGGAAUUCUUCAAGUAAAGGGAAAUUCCAGCAAUAAAAAAGCUUUGCUUGAGCAAAAGAAAAUGAAAAUCAAACCAGGAGAUGCUCAAUGUCUGUAGGUAUUAAAACCAAAUUAUAAAAAUCAAAUUUCAAAUGUAGAAAAUCUAUAAUUGGUAUAGUAAGUUAUUAAUCAAGAAAGGAAGAUGUAACAAAAAGGAGGAAAGAAAUGAAAUUGAUCUUCGACAAACAGUAAGUUACCGAUCAAAGCAGAUGAAUGAAUUCGAAAAAAAGAAGAGAAGAGAAAUGAAAAAAGGAUCAAGACAGGUGAGUUGUGAGCGUAUAUGAUUUACUUUCCCUCGUGGAAAGGUCAAGCUACGGUUUCGCGACCGGAGGCAGGACGAACUAUCGCCUUUUUCGGGUCAGCUCGCGAGAAGCAGUGAAUGUUUCGAAAGCGACAGGCGGCUGCAGAAUUUACAAGCGCUCGCGAUAUUAUUUUCAGUCACGGCUACCGAGAUGUUUUAUUCAUAACGCGUUUGACACAGUCUCUGCGCCCGCACGGAUUUUUUUUUCAAUCGGACGGAUCUCUCGUGGCCGUCUUCCCUAUCUUCGAUACAUUUCUGAUAUCCACGUCGAUAAAACAACAGUCUGAUAACGUUCUCAUCGGUGAUUAUUCAGAAGAUUUGACAACUGGCUCCAUUAAUCAAUAAUAUAGGAUUCCAAUGAGAUUCCGGAGGAUUCUGCAAGGAAUUAAAAGUGCGAAAUUUAAAAACUAUUGUCUAAUAGCUUGGAAAUGAAGUAAUUUCGAAGGAUAUAGAAAUAAGUUUUUGUGGAAAUUUAAAGAUAAAAAUAAUAUUCGCUAGACUCAGUUUAGAAAUUUUUGAAGUUCUAGUUAGUUGUUUCUUUAAAAAAUCUUCUUGAAGAAGAGAUGGCUCGAGGGAUUUCUCAGACAUUGAAUUAUUAAUUAUAGCCAGCUUGACCGUAUCAUAGACAUCUGAAAUAAGAACCAAGAAUAAAUAAACAUUGGCCUUUAUCUGUUCUUAUCUCCUUCUGGAUCAAUUCAUGGAUUUACAUGACUGGACAAUAUUCGUCUAUUCCGUAACAGUUAAAUAUCACUGAAUUCUUCUACUCGUUUUUCUGGGUCACCUUCCACGUAGAAAGUGUGACAGAUACAGGUGCCGCAUUAGAAUUAGACUCGGUACUCAAUAAAUAUACAAUUCCUAUAUUUUACAAAAACAUUCAACAAAUUUUAGUAUAUCUUUCAAUUAUAUAUGGUCGAAGAUACUUUUCUGAAUUUCACACGAUAUAAAUCAUACAAAUUGUAAAAGGCUUUUCGCAAAUACCUUGUGACAAUCGUGAUCGAUAUUCCUAGGAAAAAUUUCCUUAAAGCUGAUGUUUAUCUCAUCUGCAGGAUUGACUCUCAGCGAAUGUACAGAAUAUUUUCCACACUUCACGUUUCCACAACGUCGAAAGAGUUUCCUCGCGUGUGAAAAUAUACGAAUACAACUAUUGCCGCACAGAAUCUUCAUUGUAAACAAGAAAUACGCUGGUUCGCAUAACUGGUUCCGUAGCUCGUAAAUAAGAAACUGACUGUGUGCUUGACAUCGAUUGCAAGACUGUGAACACGUUGCAUGGUUUUAUCGCGUGGCAAUUUUUCGAUAAUUUUUUUGAUUCGCCGAACACCUUCUGAGAACUAGAUUCUUAUCAGAUGACAAGAGAUCGCGGUGUCUAGCGCGAACAAUAUAAACUACUAAGCUUUGUUGAGUGACAACUGAAUGAAAAACCUAUACAAAUAAACCUUUAUCUUUGUUGUUUCUUUUUCCUGAGAACCACUUGUCUUAAAAACAAUCGUCCUGCUCUGGAGUAAAAGAUAACACAACGAGUAAUUGGACAACUUUGUUGUUCCCCGCUUCUAAACGUACAACUUGUAAAGAAAAGUUCUCGUUACAUAAACGAAGAACGAUUUUAGUAGCUGUCAGAAAUUGGAAAGAUUGUAAUUAAAGAGGUUUAUGUCUAUAAAAUACAUUCUUACAGAAAAGACCUCCAGAGUCUCAACAAUCCAAUAAAGUUCUCAAAAACGAUGAAUAGCGCAGACAGAAAAUGAUCUUCGUCUCCCACCCGUACAAGUAUACUGUACCAUGUGGCGCGUUAAAAAUAUCCAAAAUGCCUCCUACUUGAUUUCAUCAGGCUCACAUAUACACACGCGAUAUCUUAGGUUUAUUUAAACUCCUCCUGCUUGAAACGCAUCCUCUCCUAUGUACUCAUCGAAACAAUAAACUGCUGCUUCACUUUCACUGGAAUUCUAUUUUUCCUGCUUCUCUUGUGUCACUUUGCGACUUCAGAAACUCGCUGGACGCUUCUUUCUGUAAUUACAAACUUUUCAGAAAAUAGAACGAAGGCAAAGCAAUAUUUAUGAGCCAUUAGCGAUGACGACUCUGUUUCGAAUCUCGUGGAUGAAAUCGCGCGCCUCACACUCUGACGAUGAUAAUCAGUAUAGCAAGUAUACCGCGGCUGACACUGGCCGAUAGAACCCUUGGAAACCGACGCUACCGACUGACUAACCGCUAUCACUGAUUCCAACUGAGCUGACUGACUGUCUGAUCCCUGUUACCGCGGCCAGUCGAAUGCUGGCUGCCUGGAGAGAUAUCUUGCACCUUUACAGCUGAAUGCACGCCAGCACAGAAUAGAACGAUAUUUAAAAGUAAAAGUUCCGUGCCGGUUCUUUGAACACCUUCGGGAUGCGUUGUCUUCUUUGUGAUUCUCGACGACGAAGAUCUUGUGAAGGAAAUUGAAGAUACGUUUAGUGGAAAAUAAAAUUACUGAAGAGAUCGCAGGUGUAACAUGAGAGUUUAGAAGAAAUAUCUUCGAAGAACUGUAUGAUUGUUUAGAAAGUUUGAUUUAAAUCGGGAGUGUAGAUUUAUGUAAUAAACAGAUCCAGUUUCUUGUCUAAACGAUGAAUCUUCCACGUGCUCGAGGAAAGGUGUUUAUGAACCGUGGUGUUUAUGAACCGUGGAUUUUUACAUCAAUGUUGGUGUUUUUAGAACAUCGUUUUUUUUAAAUACCAGUUGAAUCAUGAAAAACAUCUCGGUAGAACAUCUACGAAUGUUCUUGUAUUGACCCAGUAACUUUGUCCAAUAUGAAUUCUUCGAGAUAAAUUUAGGAAUGAGGAAAAUAGUGACUAUAAGAGAUACGUUCCAUUCGACUAUGUCUUGGCAUAGAGCGAACAUCGAUUGCACCUACGCAAAGAAUGCACAAAGCGAGCGUACACGUGCAUAACACGGUUUGUAAACUCGAUGAUCCGUAUGUUGAAUGAGUAGGUAGAUAAAGAUAAGUAUGCACAUUUGUACGUACAAAGGAAAGGCAUGCAUAACAGAUUCCAAGAGAAAAGAACGCGUAAAAGAACGUUUCUCCAGCUGCCACAUUCUUGCGUCCUUCGUCGACAGGAAUAACAAUUUGUAAUCAUCGAAGAUGCCACGCUUUACUUAUCUUCGAAAAUAUAUCGAUUUCCUAAAAAUAUUUCAAAUUCUUUAUCUCUCUUACGGCAGAACAAUCAAUCCUCUCAACAAAGUUCAAAAAAAGGAAGAAAAAGGAGACAAAUGCAGAUUAAAAACAGGAGAAUGAAAUAUUGUUGAAGAGAUAUAAACAAAUGGAAAAAGUUGAUGUCUGUGCAGGCACAUUGUCAGUUCAUUAAAGUUUCCUACAUACUGAGACGAAUUCCAUUCCUCUCGACGAAUGAAUAGUCCGUUUGUUCGCAAACUGGAGCACAAGAAGCAUGGCGUUGCGUAAGAUAAAUUACGUGUUUGUUCACAGAAACGACAAUGUAUUGGUAGUGAUGAUGUGUCGCGAAAAACAUAGUCUUUUUCCUUCGGUCUAACAUUGAAAUAUUUAUACACCUGGAAUGGAAGUAUGUCAAAAUGACGAAGAUAGAACAAUGGGUUUCCAUAAAUUCUAUUUAUUGAUUUUUCACUUUUUCUCUUCUGCAAUUUAUAUUUUUCGCAAAACAGCUCCAACUAUUGGUAUAUAACGUACAACCUUCUUUAAAAAUCAGUUAUGGCGUAGAAACAAAUUUAAAAUCGGGCAUCAUUUUGUUUCUUGAAGUAGUACAAUAUUGUGUGUUUAUCAGAACAUUAAGAUGAAAAAUAA